UACGUAGGUGACAAGCGUUGCCCGGAUUUACUGGGCGUAAAGAGCGCGCAGGCGGUCGAUCAAGUCGAGUGUGAAAGCCCCCGGCUCAACUGGGGAGGGUCAUUCGAUACUGAUCGACUCGAAGGCAGGAGAGGGUAGUGGAAUUCCCGGUGUAGUGGUGAAAUGCGUAGAUAUCAGGAGGAACACCUGCGGUGUAGACGGCUUACUGGACCAUCACUGACGCUGAGGCACGAAAGCGUGGGUAGCAAACAGG
rnacentral:rRNA from 1 species